UACGUAGGGUGCAAGCGUUGUCCGGAAUUAUUGGGCGUAAAGAGCUCGUAGGCGGUCUGUCGCGUCUGCUGUGAAAACUCGGGGCUUAACCCCGGGCCUGCAGUGGGUACGGGCAGGCUAGAGUGCGGUAGGGGAGACUGGAAUUCCUGGUGUAGCGGUGAAAUGCGCAGAUAUCAGGAGGAACACCGGUGGCGAAGGCGGGUCUCUGGGCCGUAACUGACGCUGAGGAGCGAAAGCAUGGGGAGCGAACAGG
rnacentral:rRNA from 1 species